CCUGCCCCUGAUUGAUUAACGCCCUAAGGUUGUAAAGAUCUUUCAACAGUGAAGAUAAUGACGGUGACUCGUAGAAGAAGCUCCGGCUAACUCCGUGCCAGCAGCCGCGGUAAUACGGAGGGAGCUAGCGUUGUUCGGAAUUACUGGGCGUAAAGCGCGCGUAGGCGGAUUAUUAAGUCAGAGGUGAAAUCCCGGGGCUCAACCCCGGAACUGCCUUUGAUACUGGUAGUCUAGAGGUCGAGAGAGGUGAGUGGAAUUCCGAGUGUAGAGGUGAAAUUCGUAGAUAUUCGGAGGAACACCAGUGGCGAAGGCGGCUCACUGGCUCUAUACUGACGCUGAGGUGCGAAAGUGUGGGUAGCAAACAGGAUUAGAUACCCUGGUAGUCCACACCGUAAACGAUGAAUGCUAGUCGUCAGGGGACUUGUCCUUUGGUGACGCAGCUAACGCAUUAAGCAUUCCGCCUGGGGAGUACGGUCGCAAGAUUAAAACUCAAAGGAAUUGACGGGG
rnacentral:rRNA from 1 species